rfam:Ancylostoma ceylanicum strain HY135 Acey_s0144_scaf, whole genome shotgun sequence.
GUUCAUUCCUGAACAUAUACUAAAAUUGGAACAAUACAGAGAAGCUUAGCAUGGCCCUUGCGCAAGGAUGACGCGCAAAUUCGUAAAGCGUUCCAAAAUCCC